ensembl:snRNA U6 U6 spliceosomal RNA
GAGCUUGCCUUGGCACCACAUAGGUUAAAAUUUGAAUGAGACAGAGAAGAUUAUAAUGUCCCCUGCACAAGAAUGACAUGCAAAUUUAUGAGGCUCUCCAUAUCUUU